rnacentral:rRNA from 1 species
CCCUUUGGGUGUGACUGCGUACCUUUUGUAUAAUGGGUCAGCGACUUAUAUUCUGUAGCAAGGUUAACCGAAUAGGGGAGCCGGAGGGAAACCGAGUCUUAAUUGGGCGUUAAGUUGCAGGGUAUAGACCCGAAACCCGGUGAUCUAGCCAUGGGCAGGUUGAAGGUUGGGUAACACUAACUGGAGGACCGAACCGACUAAUGUUGAAAAAUUAGCGGAUGACCUGUGGCUGGGGGUGAAAGGCCAAUCAAACCGGGAGAUAGCUGGUUCUCCCCGAAAGCUAUUUAGGUAGCGCCUCGUGAAUUCAUCUCCGGGGGUAGAGCACUGUUUCGGCUAGGGGGCCAUCCCGGCUUACCAACCCGAUGCAAACUGCGAAUACCGGAGAAUGUUAUCACGGGAGACACACGGCGGGUGCUAACGUCCGUCGUGAAGAGGGAAACAACCCAGACCGCCAGCUAAGGUCCCAAAGUCAUGGUUAAGUGGGAAACGAUGUGGGAAGGCCCAGACAGCCAGGAUGUUGGCUUAGAAGCAGCCAUCAUUUAAAGAAAGCGUAAUAGCUCACUGGUCGAGUCGGCCUGCGCGGAAGAUGUAACGGGGCUAAACCAUGCACCGAAGCUGCGGCAGCGAACGUAUCACUUAAAGCGAUUCAGCGGGUUACGAUUGACGGAGCGAAGCGACGUCAAAGCGUAUACAAAGUCGAGUCGGUUUAAGGAUACGUUCGUUGGGUAGGGGAGCGUUCUGUAAGCCUGCGAAGGUGGCCUGUGA